UAGGGAGUCAAACAGACCUUGAUGUGUGUCAUAUGCUGUUCUCUUCUCUUCUGUUCUACUCUGUAGCGGCCUCUCCACCGGACGGUCUGUACUAUGGUGCACUUAUGAUCAUGUUUUAGUGCUUUUAUUAUCAUGCAAUGUAACCAUGUUGAUGUUGGCACUGGAGCGUUUUUUCAUGCAGAAGAGCAGCAUGCUCUGUUAUGAAGAGUGUUGCUGUAAACUAUUUGAAUGACAGUAUUUAAUAUAUUCGUAAUCGGUUACUUCCCUUGCAAUCACUGUCUAAUUAUUUACCAACGUUGAAAACAUUCCUCAGUGAAAGAGGUGUCAAACCUGCAGAUAUCCUUGUGUUUAAAUGUUCGAGAAGACUCAGAAAAGCCUCUUGUUUGGCGUCAAGAUCAAUUGAGAGUUGCACAUGCACUUUAUUUCUUUGCUCAUGAAGGUGUACAGCUGGGGUAGAAUUUCAAAGGGCUUACUAAACUAUUUUUGCUCCUAAAAUUGGUUGUCGAAAAGUGAAGGUACUCUUGUUGUACACUGAGAAACAUCUCUCAAACACUAUUAACACCGAAAAAGAGCACACUGACAGCCCCUUAAUGACUCUUAAACUACUGUUUCCAAAUAAUUGGUGAUAGACUUGUCUGCAUUGUUUAAUUUUAAAUUGCAGUUUUGUAUAUUAUGUGUUUUUAUAUCUAUAAGUGAAAGAUUGUAUUGAUGUUGAUCACCUGUUUGUUUUUUUCUUCCUUCUUUUUUUUUUUUAAACACUACUAUUCAUUCUUGGUCAUUUAAUUCCUUUAACAUACUAUUAUUUAUUUUAAAUAAGACUGAGAAUUAAUAAAUAUUUCAAGUCAAUAAAUUCAUUCUCAAUUUUUUUCCCCUCAUUUAUUGUCAUCUUUCUUCCACUUUAUUUUUACACUUUAACACCUCUUGCAUUUUUCAGUAAGUUAGCUUGCCUCAUAAUAAUGAAUAUUAGUAACAAGUGUUGAGCAUGGUACAAAAUUGACUUUACAUUAAUUUUCAUGUCAUCAGUUGAUCAACUGACUGCAAGAAAAGAUGGUAGUUUAAUUAUGUGUGAUCUCCUGAUGGGCGUCCCAACUUUUGUCAACUGGAACACCACAGGCUGUGCCUCAUCGACGAGCACUGUAUCCUUGACAGUCCACUGAAGACAUAUUUGUAUCCUGGCAACGGCAGUUUAUCCUCAGCGGGGGCUUUACAAGUCAGGCAUUCGGUGGAUGGAUGCUCAUUAGACAGGAACUCCGAAUAUCUUGUUAUUUGAUCUUUCUCAGUAUGCGCGCUCUUUUUAUUUUUGUGGCGUUCCAGUGCAUACUGUAUGUGAGGCAUGGUGUCAGUCCUGUAUAUACACAGAAACAGACUAUGUUUGCAAAGAGAUCCCAAAAGAUUAUCCUGCUGGGUUGACCUCUGUGAUUAUCUUUGUGAGUGGUUUAGGAGAAAUCGGCUUGUCUGUGUUUAACAGCACAAAUCUGACAUCUGUGAACAGUCUGACUAAGGCAGACCAAGGCAUCACAGCAAUAGGACCGCAGACCUUUGAUAAGUUUCAAAACCUCAAAACUCUCAAUUUGGACAAUAAUCAUCUCUCCCAAGUCUCAUCAGACUGGUUCAGCCAUCAGGUUACACUUGAGAGACUCAGACUGUCAAAUAAUAAAAUCACUACACUGGAUCAUAAUUCUCUUGAUGGGCUGCCAAACCUGCUCACCCUAGACUUGUCUCAGAACCAGAUUCACACUCUAACCCCAAGCAGUCGUCUUGGUCUCCGUAAAUUGAGGCAGUUAGACCUCUCCAACAACUGACACAUUUGAGUAUGGAUGUGUUUCUUACACUUAACAGCACAAAGAUCCAUUUGGAUGGAAAUCCUUGGGACUGCUCCUGCUCUGUUAACGACUUUGCCAAAUAACUGAGAAGUCUGCAGAAUGCUUCUCUUCUGGAGAACGAGAUGCAGGUGUGCUGUAAUAGCCCUCCUGAUUUGAAAGGGAAGCCAGUAUGGCAGGUCCCAGAGUGUAAAACCCUCACAAAAAUGAGCUCUACCACUGUGAGCCUGACCAUUGGAAGUCCUGACACCGUGAACCCUGCCACUGUAUUAAUAACCAAACCUCUUACAAUCGAACACUCAACUUUAAUCAUUUUAAUUGGUAGGUGGAACUAAUUGAUUUCCCAAAUUCAGCCCUCAUAUCCAGGAGCUUAUUUUGUGGAUGACUAACCUUUUAUUAUGU